GUUUGGUUGGGUGGGAAGAAGGGUGUACUGAGCAUAUUUUACACUUUUAAAUUUUGAAAGUUUUUUUCAUGUGUUUAUCCUGGGGCUUUUAAACCCAAAGGUCUAACUUUUUUUUUUACCUCAAGAGAUACUAUGAAAUCUACUAUCAGAUGUACAAAGGAAGAAAACAUAUUUCUCAACUUUGAUUUAGUUUUGCUCUGUCGCCCAGGCUGGAGAGCAGCGGCGCCAUCUACAGUCACUGUAACCUCUGCCUCCUGGGUUCAAGCGAUUCUCCUGCCUCAGCCUCCCGAGUUGGGAUUACAGCUGGGAUUACAGGCAUGCGCCACCACACCCAGCUAAUUUUGUAUCUUUAGUAGAGAUGGGGNNNNNNNNNNNNNNNNNNNNNNNNNNNNNNNNNNNNNNNNNNNNNNNNNNNNNNNNNNNNNNNNNNNAGUGCUGGGAUUACAGGUGUGAGCCAUCACACCCGGCCUUUUCAAAUAUUUUGUAGAGACGGGGUCUCACUUCAUUGCCCAGGCUGCUCUCAAACUCCUGACUUCAAGUGAUCCUCCUACCUCGGCCUCCCAAAGUGUUGGGAUUACAGGUGUGAGCCACCAUGCUCAGUCCAAUUACUGGCUAUCUCUUCCAUUUUCCAUCCUCUCCCCAUACUAACCUUCUUAGAAAAACAGUCUCAUCUUCAUUUCUCUAUUUACUCACCUGCUAUUUAUUCCUUGAAUCAUUGGCUUUUAUUUGUCAUAACUUAACUGAAACUACUUUCAUUAAGACCAUUAAGGAUGUCUUUUCGUUAAAUAUUGCACAAUAGCCACUUUGCACUUCUCAGUACCUUAUACAUGACCUCUAGGUACCACUGACACUUGUUCAACUCCUUCCUUCUUGAAAACAAACACCUUUUCCCUUAGUGUUCACAGUCAUACUCUUCUGGGUUUCUUCCUGCCUUCUAGUCUCACCAGCUUCUAUUCCCUCGUCUGUAUUUUACAUGUGAAUGCAUCUAUCUUCCACCCUUCUCUCUGCUCAUUGUAUAUACUCCUCUAUAAGAAUUCACCCACUCCCAUGGUUUCAAUGCUGAUGACUCCCAAAUGUCUACUUUUAGCUCAGAUCUCACUUCAGUAUCCACCUGCCUAUUGGAUAUUUAUAUCUACUUGGAUAUGAGUUAUGGAUAUGUACCACGAACAACAUAUUCAAAAGUUAACUCAUUAUCUUUAGUGCUUAUAAUUUGUUCUCUUGUUUGUUUCCUUUCUCAGUGUGAUUUCCACCAAGUUGCUUAAGUAAGAAUCCUAAGUGCUAUGGCUGGCUCUCUUUAUCUGCCCUGAUGCUCACAUGUAAUCACUAAAAUCUGUUAAUUUUAUGUCUUGAAUG
rnacentral:lncRNA from 1 species